AUUGAACGCUGGCGGCAGGCUUAACACAUGCAAGUCGAGCGGAGAUGAGGUGCUUGCACCUUAUCUUAGCGGCGGACGGGUGAGUAAUGCUUAGGAAUCUGCCUAUUAGUGGGGGACAACAUUCCGAAAGGAAUGCUAAUACCGCAUACGUCCUACGGGAGAAAGCAGGGGAUCUUCGGACCUCGCGCUAAUAGAUGAGCCUAAGUCGGAUUAGCUAGUUGGUGGGGUAAAGGCCUACCAAGGCGACGAUCUGUAGCGGGUCUGAGAGGAUGAGCCGGCACACUGGGACUGAGACACGGCCCAGACUCCUACGGGAGGCAGCAGUGGGGAAUAUUGGACAAUGGGGGGAACCCUGAUCCAGCCAUGCCGCGUGUGUGAAGAAGGCCUUAUGGUUGUAAAGCACUUUAAGCGAGGAGGAGGCUACUGAGACUAAUACUCUUGGAUAGUGGACGUUACUCGCAGAAUAAGCACCGGCUAACUCUGUGCCAGCCGCCGCGGUAA
rnacentral:rRNA from 1 species